rnacentral:rRNA from 1 species
AUUGAACGCUGGCGGCAUGCCUUACACAUGCAAGUCGAACGGUAACAGGUCUUCGGAUGCUGACGAGCGGCGAACGGGUGAGUAAUACAUCGGAACGUGCCCGAUCGCGGGGGAUAACGGAGCGAAAGCUUUGCUAAUACCGCAUACGAUCUACGGAUGAAAGCCGGGGACCGCAAGGCCUAGCGCGGACGGUGCGGCCGAUGGCAGAUUAGGUAGUUGGUGGGAUAAAAGCUUACCAAGCCGACGAUCUGUAGCUGGUCUGAGAGGACGACCAGCCACACUGGGACUGAGACACGGCCCAGACUCCUACGGGAGGCAGCAGUGGGGAAUUUUGGACAAUGGGCGAAAGCCUGAUCCAGCCAUGCCGCGUGCAGGAUGAAGGCCUUCGGGUUGUAAACUGCUUUUGUACGGAACGAAAAGACUCUUUCUAAUAAAGAGGGUCCAUGACGGUACCGUAAGAAUAAGCACCGGCUAACUACGUG